rnacentral:rRNA from 1 species
UACGUAGGGUGCAAGCGUUGUCCGGAAUUAUUGGGCGUAAAGAGCUCGUAGGCGGUCUGUUGCGUCGGCUGUGAAAACCCGAGGCUCAACCUCGGGCCUGCAGCCGAUACGGGCAGACUAGAGUUCGGCAGGGGAGACUGGAAUUCCUGGUGUAGCGGUGAAAUGCGCAGAUAUCAGGAGGAACACCGGUGGCGAAGGCGGGUCUCUGGGCCGAUACU